UCAAACCAGUCAGGUGGUACGUCGUUGGCUUCGUCGCGCAUUCUAUCGUCCGUCCCCCCUCGACGAUUUUUUUUGGGCGUGAAUUUCGCUCGGGGAUUAACUACAAGCGCAUGGUUUUUUCUCGCCGUACGUUCCGCUCCCCUUCUUCUAGAUUUGUUGCCUGAAUCUCCCCCACAACCAGCUGCCGACUAUCGCCAUCGCCCGCUGGAUUUCCCGCCUGAAUCUCUUCGGCUGUCGCCGCGCGCCUCUACCUCUUCCUCGCCUAAGAGCUCGUCCCCGACGUCGUCCGGCUCUCGGCCCUUCAGGCCGACACCAUCAACAACUGCUCCGGGGAUAGGACUCUGCUCUGGGCCUAGACUGGGCAGUUCGGCGCCUCCGAUCUCGCCUGGACCAACUGGGCACGUCGAGAUCUAAAGGUGCAUCGCCGCUGAUGGGUUAUGGGCUGAUGGUAGAGUCGAUGGUGUAGGUGUACACGGGGAUGACGGCAAUUACAGAUCGGCUUUGGUUUGUAUGACACGGAAUAGCAACUUAUGAUGCCUAUGCAAUGUGCUGGGCUUCCGUAUAAUGUUCUGGAUGAUGCAGUCUUUUAAUCAUCCAUUGUCCCCUGUCAUGGAUUCUUCUCUAUUUGACAACUUCUGGAAAUUGAUCACGGCAACCAAGACAAUGAUGACAUACCUCCAAUAAUUUCCAUUGACCUCGAUGUUAUCCUUUGAAGCAUCUGUGGAAACAUACUGUACUGGUUUUUAUAACUGAUUUGGCGCCACCAGCUACUCCCGCCGCAACGCUGUUUGCCCCACCCUCUUGUGUUUUGGGUCAUCAUCUGAGUAUUUUUUCGGGCGAAGUGGCUUUGAUACUUCUAGGUGGUUUCUCCUUUCUCCCCUCAUGCAAGGCUGCUUCACUAUAGAAAACUCUGAGAAAGAAUUGGAUAAACAAUCUAGCUGGUACUUAGGAAUAGUAGUUGGCCCUGAUCUUAUCAACACAACUUGAUGAAUAAUUUCAUCUCCGUCCGUGUAUAAGGUAGAAUUAAACCAUAUGGUCACAGUAGGCAGUAGGUAGUAUGUAUAUCCUAGAUAAGAAGUAAAUACCAUCCUUGUGCCAUUCAUCAGCUUAUCAAUAACUAUUGACUUCUAUGUUGAUUAAGGUUCCUCCAUGUGUUCUAUUUUACUUCCAAAGAGAAGCCUAAACAAAAUAAUUUUCAGUUGAGAAGUACCGCACUCAGUGUAAUAGAAUAAAUCUUUAUUUAACAUUUGUAAUAUUUUGUUCCUGUGUUCCGGUUUUACUCUUGUUAGAUUGAUAAGACAAUCAACAAUAAAAUGUUCAGGGGAUUUUGAGCCAUUUGUGCAUGUGGGCAUGUAUGCAAAGUCAUAAAUGCAGCAAUGCCAUGUAAAUUAUCCAUAUUGAGUUUUCUUUGAAAUGAUUCCUUUCUUUAAGAUCAUAUGUGUUACUCUAGCAACUGAGAAUGUAGAUUACAGUCAACAGAUUUCUUUACCAUUCUACCUAACUAUAAUCUAAUUUAGCCAAGCACACACGUUGAUUUAGAUUGUUUCGUUUCAAAGAAAGUUCAUGAUCAUCUUCUUUUGCCUGUUUCAUGCACUUCGAACCAUUGGGUUCUAGGAAUCUAAAAGAAUCCAGUAUUAUUUGAACUUCAUCAUAUGAAAUUUUCUCCAACUGUUUUAGCUUUGCGCAAUUAGCCCCCAUCGAGAAUUUGUCGCAUCAUGCUUCUGUAAUUCACUUAGGAUAUUCAUUACCUUCUGCCCUGUAUCUUUAGGCUCGUUGUCAGUCACUAUAUAUGGACCCGGAGGAUUCCAGCAGACUGUGAAAAGUACAAGAAAACACAAGUUUCAGUGGAAAGGGUUCUUCCUUUUGUGGUUUUGAUAAGGUUGUACCGGAAAUAAUUUCAGAAGUAGAGGUGGCAUGGCAACUGUAAAUUUUUUAUGUUUUUAUUUUGCGACGAAAAUGGUAUGUGUCUAAUUUCAGUAUAGUUUUUUUGUAUACAAUGGUGGAUAGCUCAGUGCUUCCUGCGGUUGAUUAGUUAUUAUAAUAGUAAUCUAAACAAGUGG